rnacentral:rRNA from 2 species
CGAGCGAUCUGAGGGAGCUUGCUCCCAAAGAUUAGCGGCGGACGGGUGAGUAACACGUGGGCAACCUGCCUGUAAGACUGGGAUAACUCCGGGAAACCGGGGCUAAUACCGGAUAAUAUCUAUUUAUACAUAUAAUUAGAUUGAAAGAUGGUUCUGCUAUCACUUACAGAUGGGCCCGCGGCGCAUUAGCUAGUUGGUGAGGUAACGGCUCACCAAGGCGACGAUGCGUAGCCGACCUGAGAGGGUGAUCGGCCACACUGGGACUGAGACACGGCCCAGACUCCUACGGGAGGCAGCAGUAGGGAAUCUUCCGCAAUGGACGAAAGUCUGACGGAGCAACGCCGCGUGAGUGAUGAAGGUUUUCGGAUCGUAAAACUCUGUUGUUAGGGAAGAACAAGUACCGGAGUAACUGCCGGUACCUUGACGGUACCUAACCAGAAAGCCACGGCUAACUACGUGCCAGCAGCCGCGGUAAUACGUAGGUGGCAAGCGUUGUCCGGAAUUAUUGGGCGUAAAGCGCGCGCAGGCGGUUCCUUAAGUCUGAUGUGAAAGCCCACGGCUCAACCGUGGAGGGUCAUUGGAAACUGGGGAACUUGAGUGCAGAAGAGGAAAGUGGAAUUCCAAGUGUAGCGGUGAAAUGCGUAGAGAUUUGGAGGAACACCAGUGGCGAAGGCGACUUUCUGGUCUGUAACUGACGCUGAGGCGCGAAAGCGUG